UACGGGGGGGGGCAAGCGUUGUUCGGAAUUACUGGGCGUAAAGGGCUCGUAGGCGGCCAACUAAGUCAGACGUGAAAUCCCUCGGCUUAACCGGGGAACUGCGUCUGAUACUGGAUGGCUUGAAUCCGGGAGAGGGAUGCGGAAUUCCAGGUGUAGCGGUGAAAUGCGUAGAUAUCAAGAGGAACACCUGAGGUGAAGACGGGUUGCUGGGCUGACACUGACGCUGAGGCGCGAAAGCUAGGGUAGCAAACGGG
rnacentral:rRNA from 1 species